GGGACCGUGGCUCAGUGGUAGAGCAUCUGCUUGCCGUAGAGAAGGUGCCAGGUUCAAUUUCUGGUGUCUCCA
rnacentral:tRNA from 1 species